rnacentral:rRNA from 1 species
UACGGAGGAUCCGAGCGUUAUCCGGAAUUAUUGGGUUUAAAGGGUGCGUAGGCGGCCAUUUAAGUCAGCGGUGAAAUUUUGCAGCUUAACUGUAACAGUGCCGUUGAUACUGUUUGGCUAGGAUUUGGUUGUAGUGUGCGGAAUGUGUGGUGUAGCGGUGAAAUGCUUAGAUAUCACACAGAACACCGAUUGCGAAGGCAGCACACUAAGUCAUUAUUGACGCUGAGGCACGAAAGUGUGGGGAUCAAACAGGAUUAGAUACCCGU